rnacentral:rRNA from 1 species
ACGGGUGAGUAACACGUGGGCAACCUGCCCUUGAGACUGGGAUAACUUCGGGAAACCGGAGCUAAUACCGGAUAAUAUAAGGAACCUCCUGGUUCCUUGUUGAAAGAUGGUUUCGGCUAUCACUUAAGGAUGGGCCCGCGGCGCAUUAGCUAGUUGGUGAGGUAACGGCUCACCAAGGCGACGAUGCGUAGCCGACCUGAGAGGGUGAUCGGCCACACUGGGACUGAGACACGGCCCAGACUCCUACGGGAGGCAGCAGUAGGGAAUCUUCCACAAUGGACGAAAGUCUGAUGGAGCAACGCCGCGUGAGUGAUGAAGGCCUUCGGGUCGUAAAGCUCUGUUGUUAGGGAAGAACAAGUGCGAGAGUAACUGCUCGUACCUUGACGGUACCUAACCAGAAAGCCACGGCUAACUACGUGCCAGCAGCCGCGGUAAUACGUAGGUGGCAAGCGUUAUCCGGAAUUAUUGGGCGUAAAGCGCGCGCAGGUGGUUUCUUAAGUCUGAUGUGAAAGCCCACGGCUCAACCGUGGAGGGUCAUUGGAAACUGGGGAACUUGAGUGCAGAAGAGGAAAGUGGAAUUC